GUACUCGCUUCGGCAGCACAUAUACUAAAACUGAACAAUACAGAGAAGAUUAGCAUGGCCCCUGUGCAAGGAUGAUACGCAAAUUCAUGGUGUUCCUUUUUUUUUU
ensembl:snRNA U6 U6 spliceosomal RNA